GAUGAACGCUGGCGGCGUGCCUAAUACAUGCAAGUCGAGCGAACAGACGAGGAGCUUGCUCCUCUGACGUUAGCGGCGGACGGGUGAGUAACACGUGGAUAACCUACCUAUAAGACUGGGAUAACUUCGGGAAACCGGAGCUAAUACCGGAUAAUAUAUUGAACCGCAUGGUUCAAUAGUGAAAGACGGUUUUGCUGUCACUUAUAGAUGGAACCGCGCCGCAUUAGCUAGUUGGUAAGGUAACGGCUUACCAAGGCAACGAUGCGUAGCCGACCUGAGAGGGUGAUCGGCCACACUGGAACUGAGAUACGGUCCAGACUCCUACGGGAGGCAGCAGUAGGGAAUCUUCCGCAAUGGGCGAAAGCCUGACGGAGCAACGCCGCGUGAGUGAUGAAGGUCUUCGGAUCGUAAAACUCUGUUAUUAGGGAAGAACAAAUGUGUAAGUAACUAUGCACGUCUUGACGGUACCUAAUCAGAAAGCCACGGCUAACUACGUG
rnacentral:rRNA from 1 species